rnacentral:rRNA from 1 species
GGGGUUAGGUGUAGGGGGCGCGGGGAGUGACCAGGGAGGAGGAGGAAGGGAGCAGGCGGCGGAGCGAGGGAGCGAGAGGAGGGAGCAGCGGCACCGGAAGCCGGAUCCUCGGGGCCGCCGAUGACGAGGAGGAGGUGGUGGAGCGGAGAAAGAGGAGGAGCGGAAGGGUAGCGAGCGCGCGUACAGUGGCGGCAGCUUCUUGUGCCCUCACGCCCAGAAGUUCAACCCCACCAGUCCUCCCGAAGGGUUGGACUGCCGCGGAGGAGGAGGAGCGUCGCAGCAUCGCGCACGUGGAAGAAUAGGGGGGAGGAGGGAGGGAGCAGUGAUGAAGGUGGUCAAGGGAGGGAAGGAGCAGACACCUGCGACGACUGGGGAGGAGGCCGGAGACGCAGAGGCGGGUCCGCCGUUCCGGGGGUCGGGGGGAGCCCGGAGCCGGGGAGGCAUGUCGGGCGAAGACGGAGCAGGUUGAGCGACGAAUCGAGGGGUCCGAGCCUCCCGUCGCCCGCGCCGUCCGAACCGUCCGUCGCCCGCGCCACCAGUUCCGGUCCCCGCGCCUAACCCCUCUACGCGUGUGCUCCUCGCUGCCGCUGGCACAGACGGCGGUUGUGACUCGAGAAGCAAGAAAGUUCGGGAUACAACGAAUGAGUUUACAAACACCGCUAACAUAGGAACACGGUACUUAUAAACAUGAAUCGUCUAGUUAUACUUGUAUAACCAAUAGAUAAAUGGUUAAGUCUUAAAUUUUGUGAAAUAAAAUACCGGAACUCAUUUUCAAGUCAGUAACAACCGACCUUCUGUAGAAGUUAUGCGACAGUUGUGCUCGAAGGGUUCCAUUACUAGAUUCUCCUUCACUCAAGCUCUACUCUACCCCUGUCUUCUAGGACGUCGCUACAACAAAGAACAAGAGGACGAGUUCCAAACGAGAAAGGAUGAAUGACAGUACCACCAACCAAGUGACGAGCAAAAUAACAAAGCCUUAAUCGGCGGACAGCACAAAACUAAACGGAGCACGACGAAUAUAAAGCACAAACGCACACCCUUCCUACACACGAUAUCUAAAACACACACGUAGGCUCUAUGGAUCUUACCAACUCUUGACUUACACAACGGGAUAAAUUAACCGUAUAAGUUGAAUUAAUUAUGCGGAAAAUCGGCACUGAAGACGGGUUUGAAAACUUUCACGUCUACUAGUGCGAUAGCCCAUUACCACAAAAGAUAACGUUAAACAGUCGAUAUGAUGUACGACGGGGACAAAGAAAACGAGACGAUUUUUACACACGAAUGAAAGUUAGAAUAAUGUAGUUAUCUGAAGGCCCGCAUAUCAUAAAGACAUUAGAGAUACGGAAUGACCAAAACACUAAAGUCGAGUCCACCUACUCGGGGCAGGACACAAUAAGGGGAACCAAAGACUUCGAGGGUCCUAAAUUAUUACUUAACAGAACCCGAAGUAACCUGUUUACUAGAUGGAGCUCGUUACUACGUCCAACCGCAACUUCGGAGUACCGCAAAAAGAACGUCGUUUAGAACCGCCCUUCUGAGACUUCACUAUUAGAAUUUAAACGGUAAAUGGCUGUAAAAGGUCAAAGAACAAACUGAACGGAAAAGAACCUACGCUACUAUUCCCUUGAUUCUUAACGCACGUGAUAACGAGUUUACCUUGUAUUCCCUCCGUAGGCAGGAGCUUACAACGGAAAUCUUGUUGAGUCCACCUACUCGGGGUAGGACACAAUAAGGGGAACCAAAGACUUCGAGGGUCCUAAAUUAUUACUCCACAGAACCCGAAGUAACCUGUCUACUAGAUGGAGCUCGUUACUAUGUAACAUCCAACCGCAACUUCAGACUACCGCAAAAAGAACGUCGUUUAGAACCGUCCUUCUGAGACUUCACUAUUAGAAUUUAAACGGUAAAUGGCUGUAAAAGGUCAAAGAACAAACUGAACGGAAAAGAACCUACGCUACUAUUCCCUUGAUUCUUAACGCACGUGAUAACGAGUUUACCUUGUAUUCCCUCCAUAGUCAGGAGUUUACAACGGAGAUCUUGUUUUCAUUGCGAGUUUUCGGACUUAUCUUAAGGAACCCUUUCCCAUCUACAAUCGAAGUUCUCUUCAUCUGUUAUCUAAAAACGGGUAUCGUGGUAAGUCGGGAUGACGAGGACUCGGGUUUAGGGUACUGGUACGGGGGUGGAGAGGAAACAACUUACUUCCCUCAGACCAACGAUUUUUCACUCAAAAGAAUUAGUCAUACAUACCGGGGAGACGUGUACUACAAAGAAGCAUAAAUACUCCGGGAGUUCGAAACAGUCAAAAGAUUAUCUAUACCUUAAAAUUAAACUAUCAGGGUUGUUGCUACCCAUAACUACCUCGAUAGAUAAUAAAUAACAGUUAGACAUUAUGAAAACAGUCGAAGAUCGUACAGCAACGAGACGGUCUCACGUUAAAAGAGACGUACCGUAUGUGGUCAAUGGUAAUCAACUAUACAAACAACUUCAAAAUAACGUUCAAUUUAUUUACACAUCACACCGUAUGACUAAUAAUAUCAAACUAUUACAGUCCGCGGCUACCGAAAUCUAUACAUUUAUUUUAUACCACUAACAGUGGCCGUACAUCACACCGUAUGAUUAGUUUACUGAUUCGUAAAUUAAUAACAAGACAAUACAAUAACUAAAGUGGCCGAAAUACAGCCGACUAAUCAAGACUUCCUAAGGUGUAGCCGAUUAAAUCUAAUACAAUGAUCUCAUAAUCUUCUUCAAGGACUAUAUACAUAAAUCUCGUAAACGACUCUAAACUACGUUUUAUAACUACUGGUCCGUAAUAUGACGCGUAUUCGUGUUAAAAAAUCAAAAAGAAAAAUAACAACGUCGUUGAAAAGAUAUCGUUAUCGGUUUAUCACACUGUAUUGUGAUAAGGUAAAAGUAUCCGGUAUUGUGUAGAAAUGUACAUUCAAACAAGAGAUCUAUCAAGAGAAAGGUUCUAAAAGUAUAGUAUAAACAACACCCUAGACUGACGAAAUGGUAUAAAAGGACCACACCUGCUACAAUAUCUCACUCGAUGGUAGUGAAGAGUAAUGACUGACAUUAGUUAUAUAUACACAAAUACGGUAUUUUCUACCUAUAAACAGCUUCGGCAACAGCACAGUACAUUAAUGGACCUCUAGUCGAUAUAUCAAAACAAGUCUAACAUUUCACCUUUGCUGUUGAGGACACACUAACAGUAAACUAAUAAAUGAAGGAGUUCAUCAUACCUAUACCACGACGGUCCUAUAAUUCAUAUAAGUACUUCAACAUAUUUGGUGCAAGAUGCUAAGUGAAUACAAUACGUAUAUAUGAAAGGUCAAAAUCCUGACUUUAGGUAGGUAACAUUACUUGAACCAACAUACCCGUA